rnacentral:rRNA from 1 species
GCAAGUCGAACGAUGAUCCCAGCUUGCUGGGGGAUUAGUGGCGAACGGGUGAGUAACACGUGAGUAACCUGCCCUUGACUCUGGGAUAAGCCUGGGAAACUGGGUCUAAUACCGGAUAUGACCAUUCCACGCAUGUGGUGGUGGUGGAAAGCUUUUGUGGUUUUGGAUGGACUCGCGGCCUAUCAGCUUGUUGGUGGGGUAAUGGCCUACCAAGGCGACGACGGGUAGCCGGCCUGAGAGGGUGACCGGCCACACUGGGACUGAGACACGGCCCAGACUCCUACGGGAGGCAGCAGUGGGGAAUAUUGCACAAUGGGCGCAAGCCUGAUGCAGCGACGCCGCGUGAGGGAUGACGGCCUUCGGGUUGUAAACCUCUUUCAGUAGGGAAGAAGCGAAAGUGACGGUACCUGCAGAAGAAGCGCCGGCUAACUACGUGCCAGCAGCCGCGGUAAUACGUAGGGCGCAAGCGUUAUCCGGAAUUAUUGGGCGUAAAGAGCUCGUAGGCGGUUUGUCGCGUCUGCUGUGAAAGACCGGGGCUCAACUCCGGUUCUGCAGUGGGUACGGGCAGACUAGAGUGCAGUAGGGGAGACUGGAAUUCCUGGUGUAGCGGUGAAAUGCGCAGAUAUCAGGAGGAACACCGAUGGCGAAGGCAGGUCUCUGGGCUGUAACUGACGCUGAGGAGCGAAAGCAUGGGGAGCGAACAGGAUUAGAUACCCUGGUAGUCCAUGCCGUAAACGUUGGGCACUAGGUGUGGGGGACAUUCCACGUUUUCCGCGCCGUAGCUAACGCAUUAAGUGCCCCGCCUGGGGAGUACGGCCGCAAGGUAA